CACACACACACACACACACACACACACACACACACACACAGUCAGUCAGUCAGUCAGUCCUAUUUUAGGCUGGGUUCUGAGCCUCCUCCUCCCCUGUCUUCCCUGCGCUCCUCAGUAUUCCCCAGCCGAUAUUUACCGAGCUCAGGCGGAAUGAGAAUUUAUGCAUUAUGUGGUGAUGAUCAGAAUGUAUUGUAAUCCUUGACCCUGGUGGCGCAUUUCAAAUGAGGAUUGGGGAUUAAGCCCCUGUGGCUGGCUGACAGACACAUUGGCUCCCUGCCCCCUGAGAACAACACAAGGCUCCUCUUUAACACAACACAUUACACAGAUACUGGGACCCUGCACUGACUGUUAUGCUGUAGUGGACACACAGAUCUGUAAUAGGUUAUAAUCUGUAUAGCAUGCUAUUGUAGGAGUGGUUACUUCUCUACCCUGGCCAACACAAACUAUAGGUUGUUUGACACCACUACAGUUUUUGCUGAAGGUGCAGUGCGGGAGUGACAUGCUCUGAGCUAGUAGGAGAGAUGCAUAGCAGAACAGAAGGCAGAACCCAGGAGAUAAACACAUGCCUCUUCCUGUGGUCUGGCCCUCUCCUCUAAAGGCUUAUGAACAGCACCAGUCUAGAUGUUAGUUCAGAAUGGAGAGCACAGGUCAACUGGCUGCACCGGAGCAGCACAGGUCAACUGGCUGCACCGGAGCAGCACAGGUCAACUGGCUGCACUGGAGCAGCACAGGUCAACUGGCUGCACUGGAGCAGCACAGGUCAACUGGCUGCACCGGAGCAGCACAGGUCAACUGGCUCCCUUGAUUCUCUAAUAAUCUCAACACAAUUAACAGAGACAUGUCACUUCUGGGGGCAUCACAUACUGCCAUCUAGUGUCUAUUCCAUAUGCAGACAGACGCACACAGGCUUCUCAGGAUGUACAUUUGUAUGUAAACGCUGAACAUUGUUUUAUGGAUGUAGAAAACAGUUGUGAUCUAUGUGCAGACAGUCGUCGUACACAAACAAAACUAGCCCCGUCUCAAAAUUAGGCUCUAUUGGCCUAUCUAUCUGAGUAGAGCCACUUUGGCUGGAACAUUUGACUGAUUGAAAUGACUGAGCUGGUCAGGGAAGGAGGAGGCAGCUCAGCAAGAUGUAGAUUGAGAGCAGCUGGGGCCUUUCCCUGAUUCCCUGCCUGCCUGUGUUGGUCUGCUUUUUGUCAUGGACAGGCCUGUCAAAGACAGUGACAGACACUUGUGUUCAGGCCGUAAUCAGACGGCACUGGGCUCCGUAAAGACCCUUCUCUGUCUCAUCUGGCCUAUUGCAUAUACCUCCCUAAUUGGAAUCCUGCAACUGGGUCACUGGCAUUAUCUCUCAAGUACCGUCAAGUCAUUGAGACGCAUGAAUGUGGAAUUAUUCCUGCUCCCAAUGCAUGAUUGAGACCUCUCCUUCUUUUCUGUGUCUUCCCUCUGUCAUCGGUUGAUUUCCUCUUCUGUCACAUUAAAAUGUUAAGUCUGUGGCGAAGCCAGGUUUGAUCAUAAUUUUGCCAUGCUUCUUGUUAUUGAAAAAGGUGAUGUUUAAAAUGUUUUUCUCCUUGAUGGUGUAGGACUGAGUUGUAUCGCUCACUAUUCGGGAAGAACGCAUUGUGCUCCUGAGUGGCACAGCGGUCUAAGGCACUGCAUCUUAGUGCAAGAGGUGUCACUACAGUCCCUGGUUUGAAUCCAGGCUGUAUCACAUCCGGCCGUGAUUGGGAGUCCCAUAGAGAGGUCGUCCGGGUUUGGCCGGGGUGCAGUGCGGGAGUGACAUGCUCUGAGCUAGUAGGAGAGAUGCAGAACAGAAGGCAGAACCCAGAAUGGACCUGACUGAUUUGGAAUCUGCCGCAUUGACUUGAAGAUACGGUUUUCUUCAUUAGGUUUAAAUAUGUGACUUUGAUACUAUCAGAAUUAUUUUUUUUGCCAAGUUGCAACAAACACUCAAACUCUCUCUCUUGUUGUGAUGUGUGUUUUGUCCUAUAUUUACAUUGUAUUUUAUUUUUAUUUUUAAUCCCAGGCCCCCGUUCCCGCAGGAAGCCUUU